rnacentral:rRNA from 1 species
UACGGGGGGGGCAAGCGUUGUUCGGAAUUACUGGGCGUAAAGGGCGCGUAGGCGGCCAUCUAAGUCAGACGUGAAAUCCCCGGGCUCAACCUGGGAACUGCAUUUGUGACUGCAUGGCUGGAGUGCGGCAGAGGGGGAUGGAAUUCCGCGUGUAGCAGUGAAAUGCGUAGAUAUGCGGAGGAACACCGAUGGCGAAGGCAAUCCCCUGGGCCAGCACUGACGCUCAUGCACGAAAGCGUGGGGAGCAAACAGG